rnacentral:rRNA from 1 species
UACGGAGGGUGCGAGCGUUGUCCGGAAUCACUGGGCGUAAAGGGCGCGUAGGCGGCUCGGUAAGCGGGCGGUGAAAGCUCGGGGCUCAACCCCGAGUCGGCCGUGCGGACUGCCGUGGCUGGAGCACUGUAGAGGCAGGUAGAAUUCCGGGUGUAGCGGUGGAAUGCGUAGAGAUCCGGAAGAAUACCGGUGGCGAAGGCGGCCUGCUGGGCAGUUGCUGACGCUGAGGCGCGACAGCGUGGGGAGCAAACAGG